GUGCAAAUGAUGGAAAUUAUUUUGUCUGACUACAUUGAUGAGUUCAAAGGAACCACUGAUGCAC